rnacentral:rRNA from 1 species
GAUGAACGCUGGCGGCGUGCCUAAUACAUGCAAGUCGAGCGAACAGAUAAGGAGCUUGCUCCUUUGACGUUAGCGGCGGACGGGUGAGUGACACGUGGAUAACCUACCUAUAAGACUGGGAUAACUUCGGGAAACCGGAGCUAAUACCGGAUAACAUAUUGAACCGCAUGGUUCAAUAGUGAAAGGCGGCUUUGCUGUCACUUAUAGAUGGAUCCGCGCCGUAUUAGCUAGUUGGUAAGGUAACGGCUUACCAAGGCAACGAUACGUAGCCGACCUGAGAGGGUGAUCGGCCACACUGGAACUGAGACACGGUCCAGACUCCUACGGGAGGCAGCAGUAGGGAAUCUUCCGCAAUGGGCGAAAGCCUGACGGAGCAACGCCGCGUGAGUGAUGAAGGUCUUCGGAUCGUAAAACUCUGUUAUCAGGGAAGAACAAAUGUGUAAGUAACUGUGCACAUCUUGACGGUACCUGAUCAGAAAGCCACGGCUAACUACGUG